AGCAGCGUGGCUCAGUGGAAAGAGCAUGGGCCUGGGAGUCAGAGGUCAUGGGUUCAAAUCCCAGCUCUGCUG
rnacentral:tRNA from 1 species